ensembl:snoRNA SNORA75 Small nucleolar RNA SNORA75
GACUUCUCACUGAGCUUCUUUCUGUCUGUUGGUGGCAGCUUAUGGAUUCAUAUGAGCAGAGAGAAUCACAGAACUAGCAUUACUUUUGCCUUCUGUCUUUACAGGAGUAUAUUUGGCUGUCUUGUGAGAUAUUA